UGGGCCUAUGGUUUAGUGGUAGAACGCUUGGUUCGCAUCCAAGAAAUCUCGGGUUCAAUUCCCGAUAGGUCCAU
rnacentral:tRNA from 1 species